rnacentral:lncRNA from 10 species
GACUGUAACAUCAUCUCCAUAAAUAAGUAAAGCUAUAAAGAAUAACUCCAUGAACACAGUACUUUGCUGGAAGCACUGAAGCACCAGACAAGAAAGACUGAGUUUCUUCUCUAAAGACACCAAAGGUGAUUUCUGCACACACCGGCUCCCCUUCACCUUCCUUCUUGAGUGGAAGCAACCUAAGACCCUCACCAGAUGAAGGCACUGGUGCCAUCCAUGCGACUUGUACAGCUUGCAGAACGCCUCUCUCGCAGUCUCAUCAGCAGUGCAGUUUUGAGCAAAGUGUCAAAGCUGUCUAAACCUCAGUUCCUACAUCAAUGAAAUGGAGUUGACAGUAACGUUCAUGAUAUUUUGAUUAAACUUAAAGUAUUGGCAUUUUUUGCUGGGUAUCUUAUUAAUAAAGAGUUAGGAUCUUGACCCACACAAAAGACAUCAAUGAAGAUCAUAGAGAAAUUAACAUUUUUGAGGCAUUAAUGAUUGUUGGUGGGACUUUUCCUAAAAGAAAAUUUAACUUUUCUGGUCUUAUUUAUUCAGAGAUAAAAAUACUCAGGGAGAAAAAAAAAUUAUAUGAAUUUUUAAAUCAUACACUUUUUGACGAGUACAGCACAUCCUAGAGAAAAUGCCUGAUACAUUUCUUAGGAGAUGUAAAGCUAGGAUGCAUAGGUAAGAUCUGGGCCACAGUACUGGAUUGUAUGGCCACAAUAGAGAAUAGAGUGGCAGUCAUAACUUGCGGUUGUGCAUUGUGGGGAACAUUUUGUUAAAACAUAAAGAGAUUGUGGUUCAAUAGACUAUACUAAAUCUUUAAUGUUUUUCCUCUUUAGUCUUUAUGUCUUGUUUCUUACUAAUACAUAGUUGCAAAUAGAGCUUUCAUUUUUUCAUCUAAAUUUGCUAGCAUAAAAAAUUUAAAAACUAAAACAGAUGAUGUUGGAUAUGACAAUUAUUUCACUGUACUUGAGGAAUUUACUUAAAAUAGUCAAUCUCGGUUGACAUUCAUGAAAACCACUAAGGCAUUUGCUUGGGUAUUGAAUGACUACUGAAGUGAACAUGGCCUGGGAAUUUUGAUCAUCAUUCAUUUGUAUUGCUUUCUCAUGGUCAAAAAUGGUACCAAUAAAUAUGAUAAUUUUUGCAAUCUAC